rnacentral:lncRNA from 1 species
GAAAAGAAUUGGAAAAAAAAUGGGUACAUAGGAUGCAUUAGAGAGACAUAAUGUUAUGAGAAAUAAUUGUUGAGUUGUGAUGGUUUUCGUAUUGAAAAAUUUGGUUUUGCGGAAGGUGGAGGAUAGAAUUGAGUAAGAAUGCUAUAAGGUUGGUGAUUAUGCUACAUUGAGAGUAUCUAUUAGUCACUUAGCCAAAUAUAUUCUAC